rnacentral:tRNA from 1 species
UAAAAGGUAUUUUAAUUAAAAAUUAUUCUUUUACACAGAAUAGAUAGUGUUUAAUCACUCUUUUUAU